ACAUAUUAAUUCAGAACUUGUAUU
rnacentral:piRNA from 1 species